rnacentral:rRNA from 1 species
GGGCUGCUCCUAGUACGAGAGGACCGGAGUGGACGCAUCACUGGUGUUCGGGUUGUCAUGCCAAUGGCACUGCCCGGUAGCUAAAUGCGGAAGAGAUAAGUGCUGAAAGCAUCUAAGCACGAAACUUGCCCCGAGAUGAGUUCUCCCUGACUCCUUGAGAGUCCUGAAGGAACGUUGAAGACGACGACGUUGAUAGGCCGGGUGUGUAAGCGCAGCGAUGCGUUGAGCUAACCGGUACUAAUGAACCGUGAGGCUUAACCUU